CUUCAGUGAUGAUACGAUGACGAGUCGGAACUGGACCGGUUUUGUCUUUGAGGAUUCUGGGUCAGGUUCACGUUCUGUGGAUCUGGCUUUAGUUCCUCAAAGCAGACGGUCUUCUUAGCUUGAAGACAUCGAGGCAUUUGUCUGAGAAGG